UACGAAGGGGGCUAGCGUUGCUCGGAAUCACUGGGCGUAAAGCGCAUGUAGGCGGAUCUUUAAGUCAGGGGUGAAAUCCCAAGGCUCAACCUUGGAACUGCCUUUGAUACUGGGGAUCUCGAGUCCGGAAGAGGUUGGUGGAACUGCGAGUGUAGAGGUGAAAUUCGUAGAUAUUCGCAAGAACACCAGUGGCGAAGGCGGCCAACUGGUCCGGAACUGGACGCUGAGGUGCGAAAGCGUGGGGAGCGAACAGG
rnacentral:rRNA from 1 species